rnacentral:rRNA from 1 species
AUGCAAGUCGAGGGGUAACGGAAGUAGCUUGCUACUAGACGACGACCGGCGCACGGGUGAGUAACGCGUAUGUAAUCUGCCUUGUACAGAGGGAUAGCCCAGAGAAAUUUGGAUUAAUACCUCAUAGUAUUACUGGAUCGCAUGAUUUGGUAAUUAAAGCUCCGGCGGUACAAGAUGAACAUGCGUGACAUUAGCUAGUUGGUAAGGUAACGGCUUACCAAGGCUACGAUGUCUAGGGGUUCUGAGAGGAUGAUCCCCCACACUGGUACUGAGACACGGACCAGACUCCUACGGGAGGCAGCAGUGAGGAAUAUUGGUCAAUGGACGCAAGUCUGAACCAGCCAUCCCGCGUGAAGGAUGACUGCCCUAUGGGUUGUAAACUUCUUUUAUAUGCAAAUAAACCUACUUUCGUGAAAGUAGCUGAAGGUAGCAUAUGAAUAAACACCGGCUAACUCCGUGCCAGCAGCCGCGGUAAUACGGAGGGUGUAAGCGUUAUCCGGAUUUAUUGGGUUUAAAGGGUACGUAGGCGGUAAUAUAAGUCAGUGGUGACAUCCUGCAGCUCAACUGUAGAACUGCCAUUGAAACUGU